AAGAAGGCUGGGGAGUGGGGGCGGCCUUAAAAAGAAAACUAUGUUCAGGGUCCACAAAACAAAGGAAUGGACGAUAAAGAAAAUGCACAAAAGUAAAGAGAGAAAAGCAAUGAUAACUCAGUUUUUUAUGUCAUUUGGUAGCCCUUAGGCUCCAAUUCCACAGCUUAUGACCUUUUGAUAAGUCGCUCCACAAAUUCCACUAGCUUUCUCCUUCUCGAAUAGCUUUGGAGGUGGAGAAACCUCUUGCUUACAAAAGAGUAAAGAAAAAUACAAACGAAGGAAAGAAUGGAAAAGAGAGCCUGAGAGUAAAGAUUUUGGCUUAGUAGAUCUGAGAAGAGCACUAUCUCCAGGAGGAAACUCAAUGACAGCAGCAGAAUAAUGAGCAAGGGAUUGUGCAAGAGUUAUACUGAGAUCUUGUAAGAAUCUGAUGGAAGUCCUUCCGAGGCUACGAGAUCUGAAAUUGAAGUUGGACCAGCUUAACCAAUGCCUGAUUAUGUUGAGUAUCAAGUUGAGAAAUGCUGCAUUAACUUCACCUAAAGUUGAUUUCUGGCAGGAGCCGGUUAUUAUGAGGAGAUUUGUACUCAAAUGGUGUUAGCAUGAACUGAGGAAUUGAAGGAUUGAGUGAGAUUUCUAUGAUUAUGGCUAGCACUCAAUUUGAUGUUAAAAAAACAAAAAUAUCCUCUUUCGAUGGAUUUUGUAAGAAAUUUUAAGGGCAGAAUGAUUCUAUUUUGUUAAUUCUAUUACGGUUCGGUCUAAUUUUUAUAGUAAUACGGUAUGAUUUAUACGGCCGGUUAUAUACGAUUUAUAUAAUGAAUUAAAUUGAUUUUGGGCGACUACAAUGGAUUCUUCCCCGGGACCCCGCAUAACGGGAGCUUCGUGCACCAAGCUGCC